GACCUAUCCUUUGAAGGAGAAUGCUGAAACCAGUUGGUUGCUCUUCAGUAGUUCUUUCUCUAUCGUAUACAUAUUUUUGUAUGUCGACACAUGCCGUGUGCGACGACGUAGACACUUCUCAACACUUGAGUGACUUGAAUUUGGCCAUGAUGACCGAAUGUCAUUGGACCGUGGAGUCGAGUGGAGGGCUCAGGCUCGAUCGGCACAACGGUUCAUUGCAGGUUGAACGAGGAAUGAACGUCUACUCUUUCUUUCCAAAACUGGCUGGGCACACGCCAAUGAGACGGAAGCUAGUGCCAAACCAGUCCUUGGAAGUUUUGCUGUGCUGCUGGACUUUCAAUCAUCAUGUAAAGUAUAUUCCGGUUUCUGAGUCUUCGUGUGCGCCUGAAGAGCUACACUGUGUAGAGAUGUUGGAAGUUUAUCCUGCUCACGACACUGCACCAAGUACAAGCAUUUCCUCGGCACUGCCUGAGCCCUGUUCUGUGUUUACUGUGACCAGGAGAAGCAACUAGAAAUUUGGAGCUUGAGCUGGAACGCUGGUGCUCUCUCUCUCUCUCUCUCUCUCUCUCUCUCUCUCUCUCUCUCUCUCUCUCUCUCUCUCUCUCUCUCUCUCUCUCUCUCUCUCUCCGUCACGUUCGGCCACUGUCCGAAACCGGUGCAUGUGCUAGCAUGUCGAAGCGCAUUGUGUCUGAGUCACGUACUCACUCUCCUGCCCCUCCCUCAUAUGCCCAAGACAGUAUGACCAACUGUGAAUACAGUUCAUGCCCACAUGUGAACUUGUGUGGUUCUCUUGUAGUAAACUGCCACGUGUGUACUUGCACGUGUUGUGUACAUGUGUGUGUGUGUGUGUGUGUUUUUGUGUGUGCGUGUGUGUGUGUGUAUGUGUGUGUGCGCGCGCGCGCGCGCGUGUAUCUCUGGGACUGCGUUCUCCUAUUCUCUCUCCGGUGCCUUCGAGGCCCACGCAACCCUUGUGGCAGUGGCUCGACAGCACAGGGCAGGAGUGUGCGCGCGUGCAUGUGUAUAUGUGGGUGUGUGGGUGUGCGCGCGCGUGUGCAUGCGCAUGUGUGGGUGUGCGCGCGUGCAUGCAGAUGUGUGUGUGGGGCCAUGGGGGUGUGCGCACGCUGAUGCUCAGCUCUCCAGAAUUAUGUCCGUGUGCGUAGCCAGUGUAUGGUGGCAACAUAGCCUUCCUUCAUGUAUAAUUAUGUGUAUUCGCAUACUAUUUGGGAUGCUUUACUGUUUUUGGUGGGAUCCAGUUACAUAGUUUUCUGUUCAAUUAUUUAUGUUUAUACAGCUGCUGUAUUUGUAGUGCAACUUUAUGUCUUUCUGCUGGUCAAAUUGUCGUCUUGAUGGUGUUCUAAUACUGAUAUACAUAGAAAAUAUUACCCUCAGAAAG